GAUGAACGCUGGCGGUAUGCUUAGCACAUGCAAGUCGAACGGACUCUUCGGAGUUAGUGGCGGACGGGUGAGUAACGCGUGAGAAUCUGGCUUUGGGUUCGGGACAACCACUGGAAACGGUGGCUAAUACCGGAUGUGCCGAGAGGUAAAAGAGAAAUUGCCUGAAGAUGAGCUCGCGUCUGAUUAGCUAGUUGGUGAGGUAAAGGCUCACCAAGGCAGCGAUCAGUAGCUGGUCUGAGAGGAUGACCAGCCACACUGGGACUGAGACACGGCCCAGACUCCUACGGGAGGCAGCAGUGGGGAAUUUUCCGAAAUGGGCGAAAGCCUGACGGAGCAGUACCGCGUGAGGGAAGAAGGCUCUUGGGUUGUAAACCUCUUUUCUUAGGGAAGAACAAAAUGACGGUACCUAAGGAAUCAGCAUCGGCUAACUCCGUG
rnacentral:rRNA from 1 species